rnacentral:rRNA from 1 species
AAACUUCCAACAACGGAUCUCUUGGCUCUCGCAUCGAUGAAGAACGCAGCGAAAUGCGAUAAGUAAUGUGAAUUGCAGAAUUCAGUGAAUCAUCGAAUCUUUGAACGCACCUUGCGCCUUUUGGUAUUCCGAAAGGCAUGCCUGUUUGAGUGUC